UGGAGUGAAGGGCCGUAGCUCAGUGGUAGAACUUCUGCUCUGCACGCAGAAGGUCGCAGGUUCAAUCCCCGGCCUUUCCAG